rnacentral:rRNA from 1 species
AACGCGAAGAACCUUACCAGGACUUGACAUGUAUGUGACGAUUACAGAGAUGUAAUUUUCUCGCAAGAGACAGAUACACAGGUGCUGCAUGGCUGUCGUCAGCUCGUGCCGUGAGGUGUUGGGUUAAGUCCCGCAACGAGCGCAACCCUUGUCGUUAUUUGCCAGCACGUAAUGGUGGGCACUCUAACGAGACUGCCUGGGUUAACCAGGAGGAAGGUGAGGAUGACGUCAAGUCCGCAUGGCCUUUAUGUCCUGGGCUACACACGUGCUACAAUGGUCGGUACAGAAGGCAGCAAUACCGAGAGGUGGAGCAAAUCCCAAAAGCCGACCCCAGUUCAGAUUGGAGUCUGCAACUCGACUCCAUGAAGAUGGAAUUGCUAGUAAUGGCGAGUCAGCAACAUCGCCGUGAAUACGUUCCCGGGCCUUGUACACACCGCGUGUCU